CGGCAACCGGGCCAUCCCGCUUGUAUUCAGCAAAUAAUAACAGCAACUUGCCUUGGAAUGUUUUGUUCGCUUAUAGUGAAUAUAGUGCCAUAUAACUGUGAAAGUUCACCUGGUGACUGCUUUUUUGCAUCCUCAGGACAUGAUCUUUAUAAAAAUCCUAAUUUGCCAUCUUGAUAUUUGUAGUGCAGGCAUUACACAUUUAAUG